rnacentral:tRNA from 1 species
GGGAAUAGUUAAAUUCAGAAUUCUAGCUUUGGGAGCUAGGGGUAAGAGUUAAAAUCUCUUUUCUUUGAGCA